GACGAACGCUGGCGGCGUGCUUAACACAUGCAAGUCGAACGGAAAGGCCCUGCUUUUGUGGGGUGCUCGAGUGGCGAACGGGUGAGUAACACGUGAGUAACCUGCCCUUGACUUUGGGAUAACUUCAGGAAACUGGGGCUAUUACCGGAUAGAAGCUCCUGCUGCAUGGUGGGGGUUGGAAAGUUUCGGCGGUUGGGGAUGGACUCGCGGCUUAUCAGCUUGUUGGUGGGGUAGUGGCUUACCAAGGCUUUGACGGGUAGCCGGCCUGAGAGGGUGACCGGCCACAUUGGGACUGAGAUACGGCCCAGACUCCUACGGGAGGCAGCAGUGGGGAAUAUUGCACAAUGGGCGGAAGCCUGAUGCAGCAACGCCGCGUGCGGGAUGACGGCCUUCGGGUUGUAAACCGCUUUCGCCUGUGACGAAGCGUGAGUGACGGUAAUGGGUAAAGAAGCACCGGCUAACUACGUG
rnacentral:rRNA from 1 species